rnacentral:rRNA from 1 species
UACGGGGGGGGUAAGGGUUGUUCGGAAUUACGGGGGGUAAAGGGCUCGUAGGCGGCCAACUAAGUCAUACGUGAAAUCCCUCAGCUUAACUGGGGAACUGCGUGUGAUACUGGAUGGCUUGGAUUUGGGAGAGGGAUGCGGAAUUCCAGGUGUAGCGGUGAAAUGCGUAGAUAUCUGGAGGAACACCGGUGGCGAAGGCGGCAUCCUGGACCAAUAUUGACGCUGAGGAGCGAAAGCCAGGGGAGCAAACGGG